rnacentral:misc_RNA from 1 species
UAAAGAAACGUAGCUCGUUCGUAAUACAUUAGCAUCUCAAUUUCGAAACUCGGAUUGACUCAGCGUUAUAGACUAUUCGCUGAGGACACAAGUCAAAUUGUGGCCGAAUUUUAAGAUAACUAGAAGCUUCUAACCCCCAACUAUUAGUCAAAACUAUAAGAUUAGACCUCAGAUCAGGCAGGAUUACCCGCUGAACUUAA